UUGAACGCUGGCGGCAGGCCUAACACAUGCAAGUCGAACGGUAACAGGAAGCAGCUUGCUGCUUCGCUGACGAGUGGCGGACGGGUGAGUAAUGUCUGGGAAACUGCCUGAUGGAGGGGGAUAACUACUGGAAACGGUAGCUAAUACCGCAUAACGUCGCAAGACCAAAGAGGGGGACCUUCGGGCCUCUUGCCAUCGGAUGUGCCCAGAUGGGAUUAGCUAGUAGGUGGGGUAACGGCUCACCUAGGCGACGAUCCCUAGCUGGUCUGAGAGGAUGACCAGCCACACUGGAACUGAGACACGGUCCAGACUCCUACGGGAGGCAGCAGUGGGGAAUAUUGCACAAUGGGCGCAAGCCUGAUGCAGCCAUGCCGCGUGUAUGAAGAAGGCCUUCGGGUUGUAAAGUACUUUCAGCGGGGAGGAAGGGAGUAAAGUUAAUACCUUUACUCAUUGACGUUACCCGCAGAAGAAGCACCGGCUAACUCCGUGCCAGCAGCCGCGGUAAUACGGAGGGUGCAAGCGUUAAUCGGAAUUACUGGGCGUAAAGCGCACGCAGGCGGUUUGUUAAGUCAGAUGUGAAAUCCCCGGGCUCAACCUGGGAACUGCAUCUGAUACUGGCAAGCUUGAGUCUCGUAGAGGGGGGUAGAAUUCCAGGUGUAGCGGUGAAAUGCGUAGAGAUCUGGAGGAAUACCGGUGGCGAAGGCGGCCCCCUGGACGAAGACUGACGCUCAGGUGCGAAAGCGUGGGGAGCAAACAGGAUUAGAUACCCUGGUAGUCCACGCCGUAAACGAUGUCGACUUGGAGGUUGUGCCCUUGAGGCGUGGCUUCCGGAGCUAACGCGUUAAGUCGACCGCCUGGGGAGUACGGCCGCAAGGUUAAAACUCAAAUGAAUUGACGGGGGCCCGCACAAGCGGUGGAGCAUGUGGUUUAAUUCGAUGCAACGCGAAGAACCUUACCUGGUCUUGACAUCCACGGAAGUUUUCAGAGAUGAGAAUGUGCCUUCGGGAACCGUGAGACAGGUGCUGCAUGGCUGUCGUCAGCUCGUGUUGUGAAAUGUUGGGUUAAGUCCCGCAACGAGCGCAACCCUUAUCCUUUGUUGCCAGCGGUCCGGCCGGGAACUCAAAGGAGACUGCCAGUGAUAAACUGGAGGAAGGUGGGGAUGACGUCAAAUCAUCAUGCCCCUUAUGAUCUGGGCUACACACGUGCUACAAUGGCGUAACAAAGGGAAGCGAGCCUGCGAGGGUGAGCAAAUCCCAAAAAUAACGUCCCAGUUCGGACUGUAGUCUGCAACCCGACUACACGAAGCUGGAAUCGCUAGUAAUCGCGAAUCAGCAUGUCGCGGUGAAUACGUUCCCGGGCCUUGUACACACCGCCCGUCACACCAUGGGAGUGGGUUGCAAAAGAAGUAGGUAGCUUAACCUUCGGGAGGGCGCUUACCACUUUGUGAUUCAUGACUGGGGUG
rnacentral:rRNA from 1 species